CCAGACUUUUUUUGCGUGCGUGGGCGGUUUCGUUGCGCGUGCCGCCUCUUCGUGCCUGGGUGCCGCACGCCCUCAGGCCACUGCGCAGAUCGCCCCCACGGGCGCGGCAAGGCAGGGUCGGGUCUCUGCGCACGGCAGCCGGCCGGCUCCAGCCCCUAGCCGUGGCCAUGGCGGCGGCCAGCCCCAUCCCAGCCGAUCUCGGUCCUCCG
rnacentral:lncRNA from 7 species